UUCUAGGAGAAUCCACAUAUGGGCCACAAUGUGGAGGUGGGAGUGGCCAUGCUGCGCACAGGGGCUGACUCAGAGCCUAGAGGAUGAAGCUGGAUCAGGAAUGUGGUAAAACGCUACUCAAAGGGUGCUUAGGAGCCAUUGAAAGUUCUGAAAGGACGGGAGAAUGAGAAUCUGUUCUUAAGAGACGACCACUCUGAGUAACUCGGCUGAAUGCAUCCUAUCCAUUUAUCAAUAACUCUAGUUCGCUUCCUUGGAAUGGAGAAGUGUCAGCAGUGUUGAUUAACCAGGAUCACAGACCCAUUUUAAUAACAUGACAAAAAGUGCAGACCUUUUACUCACCAGAAAAAUGUACCCACAACCAAAUUUUGAACAUAAUGUAUUAAGGUUUAUGCAUCCUGUGAAGUCCAUCUAUGACCAAAGACUGGUGUUAAAAUCUGUAAAGUAUAAUAUACAAUAACGGAAGAGUAAGAAAAAAAUAGUUUUGGAAAAUUAGAUCCUGUGUGAGUCACAAGAUAUGUAUAAGUGACAAAAUGUGUGGGGAAGUGAAGAGAUGCUUGAGAAACAGUUUGGAAUUUGAAACCGAACUCCGCUGCCUAUUCAAUGUAUUGGCUUAACUAAGACAUCUUAACACUCUGAGCCACAUUUGGUGCAGAAAGAAUGAUAAUGUCAUUUGCAGCAUAAAGGGAAUGCCUAUAGAAAGCCCAGCACAAGGUCUGCCAGAUAGGACUUAGUGCAUUUGUUUAAUGGAAAUUAAAUCAGCAAUUAUUUUCUGAAUAUAUUUUAUGUGCCUAGCUAUAUGAUAGUCAUAAAAAGAGGCUUGCACCAAAUACCAGAUGUGGUAAGCAUUGAAUGUGUCAUUGAACUGAUCUCAGCCAAACAUAUACAUCAUUGUUCUUGCUUUAAAAAUGCUUGAGAAGAUAGAAUAAAAGCAUGGCAGUGCUUAAAGAGACAAUAGUACUUUCCUCCAUUUAUACUGGAGUUUCAGAGCUGGAGCUGGGAUGACAACAGGGGUAUCCAGGCCCUCUGUAUUCUUUCCAUUCCAGUAUUUUAUGAAGAAGCUAAAAAUUCAAUGUGUUUCCAUUGGAUGAGAUAAAAAUAAAAGCCUCAGGGAACACAACUGCGAUCCUGGACCAGGAGAGAUUCUGCAACAUACUGCUGUAAGAGAAGCCUGGAGACAAGAGCUGCCAUUUCCAACCAAGCCAUAAACCUCUCCUCAGAGGUAAAGAGAAAAUAGCAAUGGGACUUAUGAGUAGUCCGCUGUGGAGUCCAGAUGCUUGCUUGUUUUUAAAUCGAUGUUCCCAGCUUUGUCAUGAAACAUUACCUGUGUUAACCUUUGCAACUUUUCAAAAAAGUUGUAUGUUAUUAUUGGUUAAAGAAACAAUGAUAACUCUUUUACCUACUCACAAGGCCAUAGUGGGGAGUAAAUGAGACUCCCAGAUAAAAUAUGUUUUAUGGAGUGACUGGCAUAUAAUAGGGUCUCAAAAAUACAUUAGUGUCAUCCCUCUCCCAGGUGCUCCUGUCUCCAGCUCCUGGUGUGGCAUCCUCCAAUCCACAUCCCUGGAUGGAACACAUGCUAGAUACUCUCAGUCCCUCAUAACUGGAAAACGAACCAUUGUCAAUCAAGUGGGUGCUCCCCUGUCCUGCAGGAAUCUUCAUCAACAUGCAAACCCACUAUCUCCAGAAACACUUUAGCAGUAUGAAUUAUUGCAAAGUGCCACAGCUGGUUACCUGAUAACAUUGGGUCUGGGAACAGGGCAGAUUAUUCAUGGGAAAGAAACAGAUGUGAAAAGAGAGGGAGUUCACAUCUUCCUCAGGAACUGGAGGCAUAGAAGUCUCCUUAUGUACUCUAAGGAAAUGAAUAGAGUCUACCCAGCUUUGAGCUAAAGAUGUUCCUUUUGUGAGAAUAAAUGUGAAAUUAGACUAUGUUGUCUACAAUUUAAGAUACAUAAACAUUAAUCCAUAAGAUGCAUAACAAACUUCAGGUCUUUGACGGUCUUUAUAGUAAUUUUUAAUAUGCACUAACAAGUCUCAUUGCUUUAAAUGAUAUAAUUUUGUCAUUUGUUAAAUUAAAAACCUGGAGUAACCCUGAUUAAUGAGAUACAAUUUGUGCAGUUCUGAUAACAUUUUUAAAAUGUAGUAUUCAUGGUAUAUAAUUUUCAAGCUGCUUUCAUUGAAUUCUUUGAAUUGUUUGGCCAAACCACUAGAGGGGAAAAAAAUGGGUAUAUUAUCAACCCUAGCAUCAAAGAGAGAAUGUGCUAGGGUAGAAAAAUCAUGGGAAUAGGAGGUAGAGCAGCUAUAUUUUCUUCAAGUUCAGAUUUUGCCUUUAUUAAUUCCUUGAAGAACCCUGU
rnacentral:lncRNA from 10 species